UCGAGGCUUAUGCUAGCUUUGUUGAAUAAAAUAAACAAACAAUGUAAAUGAAAUAUGACAACAAGAAGCUGAUGCCAGAAACUUGUACUAUAGUCAGUUAAGUGAAGUAACGGCUUCACAAAUGAAUCGCUCCCUCCGUAAGAAUUAGAAUUAGUUUACUUCAAGACACGGAUUAGAUCAAAUUUAACAGGUAGGGAGGAUAAAACAUUUCUAUGCACACAAACACGCUCUUUGUUGGCAAUGCCCGUGCGGUCACUUAUCCAUCAAUGUAGAAAAUUGAUGUAAAAUUAUCAUUUUCGUAAUUUAAAAAUUAUUUGCACACUGACCACUAGGAAAACUCCCGAUCAUAGAUAUAUGUAUAUAUGUUUAUAUAUCUCUGGCUUUCACUUAUUUCUAAUGGAGGCAGUUAUUCGUUUGUGAACGAAUCUCUAUUAUGAACUCUAUUAUUUUAACCAUCAAUAUCCCUGCGCCUCAAUGUUCAUAGCCACCUUUCUGAUCAAAAUGGUAUAUAACAUUUGUAAUAUUCAAUAUAUAGGGUGGGCUUUAUGCACAUUGAGGCGCAGGCACUGUUAUGUUAUCAGGCACCCUUAUAAGUUACGUCAAAUACUAGCCGUUACUUCACUUAGCUGACAAUAAUUGAAGUUUCUGCCAUCGGCGUCUUGUUGUCAAGCUUCAUUUCCAUUGUUUGCUUAUUUUAUUCAACAAAUUUAGUGAGAGUUGGUGCUACUUUGCCUUAUGAUCAGUGCAAUAAGAGACUGUAUUAUCAUUAUUAACGUUACUUUCUGAGCACAAAAGUUCGCAAAAUACAAAAAAAAAAAAAAAAAAACGAAAUCUUACCUAUGAAAUUUGAAAUUUUCGGCCUUUGUGCUUUGUUUUUUGUUUUUUUGUUUUGCUCAUUUUUACACCUGUACACCACACUAAAGUCCAGCAUUUACAGAUUGGAUUUAGUCCUGACUGGUGUGGUUGAAUGACUUUAGUCCUGGGAGCACUGUACAAAUAUGGCGGCGCUAUUGACGCAUGCUCAGGGCCUGUAUGCGAUAUCUAGUGUAUAUAUCUGUGAUCGCAGAAUAGCUAUAUGACAUCAUGAUCUUAGUAUAGAUUUAUAUUAGAUGUUAUUAUGAUUUCAUGACAAGCAUUUUCUUGUAUUUCUAAUAAAUUAGGUUAUAAAAGUAGUAGGCCUACUUAAAAGUAGUAGAAAAAGUAGUGUCCCUAAUUGAAGAAUCACCCAUACGUCUCAGUGCGGAGUCCAUUUAAACGCAAUGAAUGUGGAAAAGUAACUAUACGUUUUGUUAAUAAUGUAAACAAAUGUGUGUCUAUUGAAUCUGACUUGCCUGUACCAAAUGAAACUGGUUAAACGAGAAUGAAAGACGAUAUAUCUUUAUUUUUGUGAUAAAGUUACUCGGUGUGCGGAAACGUAGUCAUCUUAAGAUUAACUCAAAUCACGGGUAGCCUGAUAAUAGUAUGUUCGAGAUUCCCCUCCAAACGAGACGUCGCAGUAGUUUGGAAACGAGAGGGGGAAAGGUGGUUUGGAUGAAGGGGGAAAUGAAGCACGUCGGACGCAUCGUCUCCCAGAUCAGAGACUGAAGGACUGAGAGAUCACGCCUCGAGUCCGCCUUGUGAUGCAGUCUCCAUGGCGACUACAGUUUCCCCGGGAAACAACACAGAUGCUUGUCCACAAGAGUUUGCUGACAACACAUAUUAGACUGAUUAGACAAACCGAGCCACGGUUGUGACAUUCUCCAAAACAGCCACGGCUACAGGAUUCAGAAGGCUUCAGGGAGAUCCACGCAGUGCCUACGACCGAUGACCAAUAGAAACAGACGCCGUUAACCUUUCUGCUAAACAAAAUAGGACUGAACUCACCUUCAAACAGCACAGAAGAAGCCCUCAUAUCUCUACUGCCACUUCCCAUUACCGUCUGGCUGAAUCACAGUGAGCCGCAGCACUCCAGAAGUGGCCUUUUUUGGGAGGGAGAGUAAAAUCCUGCUGGUUCACAUUUAAUAAGAGGAAAGCAAUAUGAAGAGAACUGGACUGCCGAACUGUCGGACAUGAGCUGAUCAUCUGCGAGACUACACUGUAAAAAAUAUCUGUAAAUUAACAGUUUUUCAUAUUUUGUGAUUCAUGUUUUUAUUUUUCUUUGUUUAUUUAUGCUUU